AGCGUACACGGUGGAUGCCCUGGCAGUCAGAGGCGAUGAAGGACGUGCUAAUCUGCGAUAAGCGUCGGUAAGGUGAUAUGAACCGUUAUAACCGGCGAUUUCCGAAUGGGGAAACCCAGUGUGUUUCGACACACUAUCAUUAACUGAAUCCAUAGGUUAAUGAGGCGAACCGGGGGAACUGAAACAUCUAAGUACCCCGAGGAAAAGAAAUCAACCGAGAUUCCCCCAGUAGCGGCGAGCGAACGGGGAGCAGCCCAGAGCCUGAAUCAGUGUGUGUGUUAGUGGAAGCGUCUGGAAAGGCGCGCGAUACAGGGUGACAGCCCCGUACACAAAAAUGCACAUGCUGUGAGCUCGAUGAGUAGGGCGGGACACGUGGUAUCCUGUCUGAAUAUGGGGGGACCAUCCUCCAAGGCUAAAUACUCCUGACUGACCGAUAGUGAACCAGUACCGUGAGGGAAAGGCGAAAAGAACCCCGGCGAGGGGAGUGAAAAAGAACCUGAAACCGUGUACGUACAAGCAGUGGGAGCACGCUUAGGCGUGUGACUGCGUACCUUUUGUAUAAUGGGUCAGCGACUUAUAUUCUGUAGCAAGGUUAACCGAAUAGGGGAGCCGAAGGGAAACCGAGUCUUAACUGGGCGUUAAGUUGCAGGGUAUAGACCCGAAACCCGGUGAUCUAGCCAUGGGCAGGUUGAAGGUUGGGUAACACUAACUGGAGGACCGAACCGACUAAUGUUGAAAAAUUAGCGGAUGACUUGUGGCUGGGGGUGAAAGGCCAAUCAAACCGGGAGAUAGCUGGUUCUCCCCGAAAGCUAUUUAGGUAGCGCCUCGUGAAUUCAUCUCCGGGGGUAGAGCACUGUUUCGGCAAGGGGGUCAUCCCGACUUACCAACCCGAUGCAAACUGCGAAUACCGGAGAAUGUUAUCACGGGAGACACACGGCGGGUGCUAACGUCCGUCGUGAAGAGGGAAACAACCCAGACCGCCAGCUAAGGUCCCAAAGUCAUGGUUAAGUGGGAAACGAUGUGGGAAGGCCCAGACAGCCAGGAUGUUGGCUUAGAAGCAGCCAUCAUUUAAAGAAAGCGUAAUAGCUCACUGGUCGAGUCGGCCUGCGCGGAAGAUGUAACGGGGCUAAACCAUGCACCGAAGCUGCGGCAGCGACGCUGAUGCGUUGUUGGGUAGGGGAGCGUUCUGUAAGCCUGCGAAGGUGUGCUGUGAGGCAUGCUGGAGGUAUCAGAAGUGCGAAUGCUGACAUAAGUAACGAUAAAGCGGGUGAAAAGCCCGCUCGCCGGAAGACCAAGGGUUCCUGUCCAACGUUAAUCGGGGCAGGGUGAGUCGACCCCUAAGGCGAGGCCGAAAGGCGUAGUCGAUGGGAAACAGGUUAAUAUUCCUGUACUUGGUGUUACUGCGAAGGGGGGACGGAGAAGGCUAUGUUGGCCGGGCGACGGUUGUCCCGGUUUAAGCGUGUAGGCUGGUUUUCCAGGCAAAUCCGGAAAAUCAAGGCUGAGGCGUGAUGACGAGGCACUACGGUGCUGAAGCAACAAAUGCCCUGCUUCCAGGAAAAGCCUCUAAGCAUCAGGUAACAUCAAAUCGUACCCCAAACCGACACAGGUGGUCAGGUAGAGAAUACCAAGGCGCUUGAGAGAACUCGGGUGAAGGAACUAGGCAAAAUGGUGCCGUAACUUCGGGAGAAGGCACGCUGAUAUGUAGGUGAAGUCCCUCGCGGAUGGAGCUGAAAUCAGUCGAAGAUACCAGCUGGCUGCAACUGUUUAUUAAAAACACAGCACUGUGCAAACACGAAAGUGGACGUAUACGGUGUGACGCCUGCCCGGUGCCGGAAGGUUAAUUGAUGGGGUUAGCGCAAGCGAAGCUCUUGAUCGAAGCCCCGGUAAACGGCGGCCGUAACUAUAACGGUCCUAAGGUAGCGAAAUUCCUUGUCGGGUAAGUUCCGACCUGCACGAAUGGCGUAAUGAUGGCCAGGCUGUCUCCACCCGAGACUCAGUGAAAUUGAACUCGCUGUGAAGAUGCAGUGUACCCGCGGCAAGACGGAAAGACCCCGUGAACCUUUACUAUAGCUUGACACUGAACAUUGAGCCUUGAUGUGUAGGAUAGGUGGGAGGCUUUGAAGUGUGGACGCCAGUCUGCAUGGAGCCGACCUUGAAAUACCACCCUUUAAUGUUUGAUGUUCUAACGUUGACCCGUAAUCCGGGUUGCGGACAGUGUCUGGUGGGUAGUUUGACUGGGGCGGUCUCCUCCUAAAGAGUAACGGAGGAGCACGAAGGUUGGCUAAUCCUGGUCGGACAUCAGGAGGU
rnacentral:rRNA from 1 species